GCAGUCAGCUGUCCGGUGUUGAGAGCACCAGGCUGCUGGAGCCAGCUGCAGGCCCACCUGUGCCAGCCCCCCUCCUGCAGCCGGGGCUGGUCCUGGGCCAGGGCAGGUCCUGUGGUUCUCAAAAAACAGUUAGUUAUGCUCUGCCCUGUACCAGGGCGUACUUGCCGUAGCACGAUGAGAAUUUGCGUCUCCCAUGUCAUGGACUGUCCACUGGAACAUUCCACCAUGAAGGGCAUGUCCAAGUGUGCUGCAUCCAAGAAGAUAUGUGGAUUCUGAGCGUUUGAAAUGUGGCUGGUGCAGCUGAGGAGCUGAGCUCUUCAUUUCACUUUAUCUUAUUCUGCUUCACUUUAAAUAGGCACAUGUGGACCAUGAAGCCCAGGACCACUGAAGAUUUUAAAUACGUUUUGUGUAUCUAUGAUAAGGUUGGAAGAGGAAAUGGCCACCCACUCCAGUAUCCUUGUCUGGAGAAGACCGUGGACAGAGGAGCCUGGCGGGCUACAGUCCAUGGGAUUCGAUCAGUCAGCACAAGGUUUGUGCCUCUGAGAACCAUCUGCUGCCAUGAUGAAGACACCUCUAAGCCCACCGCUCAUCCUCGGCCAUGAAAGGAUGCCUUCGUGUGUCAUCACGUUUGGGCACAUGUGCGGUGUAUGAAGAAGCACCUUCGUGGGGCUUUCUGACGUCUGAGUGUGUGUCUCAUGGAAGUACUGACCCUCCCCUGUUGGGCCUUUUCUAUGUAAACCCAGUCUGUGUGUCCCGGAGAUGAUCAUAAUUAAGUCCCAGGAUUUGUCAUUGAAGCACUGUACUGUUAAAUAAAGGUUGGAAGUUAAA